rnacentral:rRNA from 1 species
GAGCGGGCGUAGCAAUACGUCAGCGGCAGACGGGUGAGUAACGCGUGGGAACGUACCUUUUGGUUCGGAACAACCCCAGGGAAACUUGGGCUAAUACCGGAUAAGCCCUUACGGGGAAAGAUUUAUCGCCGAAAGAUCGGCCCGCGUCUGAUUAGCUAGUUGGUGAGGUAAUGGCUCACCAAGGCGACGAUCAGUAGCUGGUCUGAGAGGAUGAUUAGCCACAUUGGGACUGAGACACGGCCCAAACUCCUACGGGAGGCAGCAGUGGGGAAUAUUGGACAAUGGGGGCAACCCUGAUCCAGCCAUGCCGCGUGAGUGAUGAAGGCCCUAGGGUUGUAAAGCUCUUUUGUGCGGGAAGAUAAUGACGGUACCGCAAGAAUAAGCCCCGGCUAACUUCGUG